rnacentral:rRNA from 1 species
GGGGAAUAUUGGACAAUGGGCGCAAGCCUGAUCCAGCAAUACCGCGUGAGGGAUGAAGGCUUUCGAGUCGUAAACCUCUGUCAGUUGGAACGAUGGGUCUGUAGGUUAAUACCCUGCAGACUUGACGGUACCU